CCUACGGGAGGCAGCAGUGAGGAAUAUUGGUCAAUGGGCGAGAGCCUGAACCAGCCAAGUCGCGUGAAGGAUGAAUGCCCUAUGGGUUGUAAACUUCUUUUAUAAAGGAAUAAAGUGAGGCACGUGUGCCUUUUUGUAUGUACCUUAUGAAUAAGGAUCGGCUAACUCCGUGCCAGCAGCCGCGGUAAUACGGAGGAUGCGAGCGUUAUCCGGAUUUAUUGGGUUUAAAGGGUGCGUAGGUGGGUUGUUAAGUCAGUUGUGAAAGUUUGUGGCUCAACCGUAAAAUUGCAGUUGAUACUGGCAGACUUGAGUACAGUUGAGGUAGGCGGAAUGCGUGGUGUAGCGGUGAAAUGCAUAGAUAUCACGAAGAACACCGAUUGCGAAGGCAGCUUACUAAACUGCAACUGACAUUGAUGCACGAAAGUGUGGGGAUCAAACAGGAUUAGAUACCCGUGUAGUC
rnacentral:rRNA from 1 species